UAGUCAUAUGCUUGUCUCAAAGAUUAAGCCAUGCAUGUCUAAGUAUAAGCAAUUAUACCGUGAAACUGCGAAUGGCUCAUUAAAUCAGUUAUCGUUUAUUUGAUAGUACCUUACUACUUGGAUAACCGUGGUAAUUCUAGAGCUAAUACAUGCUGAAAACCCCAACUUCGGGAGGGGUGUAUUUAUUAGAUAAAAAACCAACGCCCUUCGGGGCUUCUUGGUGAUUCAUGAUAACUUCACGGAUCGCAUGGCCUUGCGCCGGCGACGGUUCAUUCAAAUUUCUGCCCUAUCAACUUUCGAUGGUAAGGUAUUGGCUUACCAUGGUUUCAACGGGUAACGGGGAAUUAGGGUUCGAUUCCGGAGAGGGAGCCUGAGAAACGGCUACCACAUCCAAGGAAGGCAGCAGGCGCGCAAAUUACCCAAUCCCGACACGGGGAGGUAGUGACAAUAAAUACUGAUACAGGGCUCUUUUGGGUCUUGUAAUUGGAAUGAGUACAAUUUAAACCUCUUAACGAGGAACAAUU
rnacentral:rRNA from 1 species